AUUAACUCCAGUAUCUGAUUAUGCGAAUGCAGAUAAAUCCCUUAAACAGUCUGCGAAACGAAACAUCGCUUCGAAAAUUACAAAAUUGAAGACCAAGACCUACAACGAAAUUAUUUUAGAAUCUAGCCACUGUACACGUGAACUUGAGAAACAUAAGUAUCCACAUGCAGAUACCAGAAAGUGAGUUAUUAGAUAUAUUAUAAACGAUGGAUCUCGAUGCUACGUACAUAUACUACGUACUUUAACCCUCGAAGUACGAGCCUGGGUAUACACGUUCCAGAUCAUAAAUGCAAAUUCACUUAAUUUUGAAAAAAAAAAAUUAAUACUAAAUUUAAAAUAAUAUUACAUCUAAUUAAACUUAUUUAAUUAGCCACCAAAUUAGCAUCAUUGUCGACUGGAUCAAAAAGUAACUCAGCCAUCGGAUUGCGAGGGUUAAACAAAUUAUUUUCGAAACUUUAUUGUCACAUCGCAUGUGAAACGGAAUUGUACUUUACCUGUAAUAGGUGAAAGCAUCGGCUCUCCUUUAUGAAAUAACCGAACGCACUAAUCAAUUAGCCCAACCACGGCAGCGAAUCGAUGAGAAGCAAUUUCAAGUACGAUCAAAUCUAUCGCAGAUCCCAAAAGCAUCACCACGAAUAAUCGAACUUUCAAAGCCACGAAUUCCGUAUCAAUAUCCCUCUAAACCAGUUGGAUACGUAGCACCCAGUGCUCUUACGGCAGUCGCCACUCAACGUAUAAUUGAACUAUCGAAGCCGAAAAGAAAACGGAGAUUAAAAAUAACAAAAAUUAAUCAUAAUAAAAGAAAAUCAAAAUUGCAUAAAGAAAAGUCACGAAGCUAUGGGAAACGCGGUAAAAAGAAGGAUUACAAAAACAGGGAUUAUAAACAUAAUGGAUUCAAUCGCUAUAAGAAUGAUCGAAAACAAAAA
rnacentral:misc_RNA from 1 species